UUUGGUUAAGUUAGAAAGGGCGCACGGUGGAUGCCUUGACACUAGGAGUCGAUGAAGGACGGGACUAACGCCGAUAUGCUUCGGGGAGCUGUAAGUAAGCUUUGAUCCGAAGAUUUCCGAAUGGGGAAACCCACCAUACGUAAUGGUAUGGUAUCCUUAUCUGAAUACAUAGGGUAAGGAAGACAGACCCAGGGAACUGAAACAUCUAAGUACCUGGAGGAAGAGAAAGCAAAUGCGAUUUCCUGAGUAGCGGCGAGCGAAACGGAACAUAGCCCAAACCAAGAGGCUUGCCUCUUGGGGUUGUAGGACAUUCUAUACGGAGUUACAAAGGAACGAGGUAGACGAAGCGACCUGGAAAGGUCCGUCGUAGAGGGUAACAACCCCGUAGUCGAAACUUCGUUCUCUCUUGAAUGUAUCCUGAGUACGGCGGAACACGUGAAAUUCCGUCGGAAUCUGGGAGGACCAUCUCCCAAGGCUAAAUACUCCCUAGUGAUCGAUAGUGAACCAGUACCGUGAGGGAAAGGUGAAAAGCACCCCGGAAGGGGAGUGAAAGAGAUCCUGAAACCGUGUGCCUACAAAUAGUCAGAGCCCGUUAACGGGUGAUGGCGUGCCUUUUGUAGAAUGAACCGGCGAGUUACGAUCCCGUGCGAGGUUAAGCUGAAGAGGCGGAGCCGCAGCGAAAGCGAGUCUGAAUAGGGCGUUUAGUACGUGGUCGUAGACCCGAAACCAGGUGAUCUACCCAUGUCCAGGGUGAAGUUCAGGUAACACUGAAUGGAGGCCCGAACCCACGCACGUUGAAAAGUGCGGGGAUGAGGUGUGGGUAGCGGAGAAAUUCCAAUCGAACCUGGAGAUAGCUGGUUCUCCCCGAAAUAGCUUUAGGGCUAGCCUUAAGUGUAAGAGUCUUGGAGGUAGAGCACUGAUUGGACUAGGGGUCCUCAUCGGAUUACCGAAUUCAGUCAAACUCCGAAUGCCAAUGACUUAUCCUUAGGAGUCAGACUGCGAGUGAUAAGAUCCGUAGUCAAAAGGGAAACAGCCCAGACCGCCAGCUAAGGUCCCAAAGUGUGUAUUAAGUGGAAAAGGAUGUGGAGUUGCUUAGACAACUAGGAUGUUGGCUUAGAAGCAGCCACCAUUUAAAGAGUGCGUAAUAGCUCACUAGUCGAGUGACUCUGCGCCGAAAAUGUACCGGGGCUAAAUACACCACCGAAGCUGCGGAUUGAUACCAAUGGUAUCAGUGGUAGGGGAGCGUUCUAAGGACAGUGAAGUCAGACCGUAAGGACUGGUGGAGUGCUUAGAAGUGAGAAUGCCGGUAUGAGUAGCGAAAGACGGGUGAGAAUCCCGUCCACCGAAUGCCUAAGGUUUCCUGAGGAAGGCUCGUCCGCUCAGGGUUAGUCAGGACCUAAGCCGAGGCCGACAGGCGUAGGCGAUGGACAACAGGUUGAUAUUCCUGUACCACCUCUUUAUCGUUUGAGCAAUGGAGGGACGCAGAAGGAUAGAAGAAGCGUGCGAUUGGUUGUGCACGUCCAAGCAGUUAGGCUGAUAAGUAGGCAAAUCCGCUUAUCAUAAAGGCUGAGCUGUGAUGGGGAAGCUCCUUAUGGAGCGAAGUCUUUGAUUCCCUGCUGCCAAGAAAAGCUUCUAGCGAGAUAAAAGGUGCCUGUACCGCAAACCGACACAGGUAGGCGAGGAGAGAAUCCUAAGGUGUGCGAGAGAACUCUGGUUAAGGAACUCGGCAAAAUGACCCCGUAACUUCGGGAGAAGGGGUGCUUUCUUAACGGAAAGCCGCAGUGAAUAGGCCCAAGCGACUGUUUAGCAAAAACACAGCUCUCUGCGAAGCCGUAAGGCGAAGUAUAGGGGGUGACACCUGCCCGGUGCUGGAAGGUUAAGGAGAGGGGUUAGCGUAAGCGAAGCUCUGAACUGAAGCCCCAGUAAACGGCGGCCGUAACUAUAACGGUCCUAAGGUAGCGAAAUUCCUUGUCGGGUAAGUUCCGACCCGCACGAAAGGUGUAACGAUUUGGGCACUGUCUCAACCAGAGACUCGGUGAAAUUAUAGUACCUGUGAAGAUGCAGGUUACCCGCGACAGGACGGAAAGACCCCGUGGAGCUUUACUGUAGCCUGAUAUUGAAUUUUGGUACAGUUUGUACAGGAUAGGCGGGAGCCAUUGAAACCGGAGCGCUAGCUUCGGUGGAGGCGCUGGUGGGAUACCGCCCUGACUGUAUUGAAAUUCUAACCUACGGGUCUUAUCGACCCGGGAGACAGUGUCAGGUGGGCAGUUUGACUGGGGCGGUCGCCUCCUAAAGUGUAACGGAGGCGCCCAAAGGUUCCCUCAGAAUGGUUGGAAAUCAUUCGUAGAGUGCAAAGGCAUAAGGGAGCUUGACUGCGAGACCUACAAGUCGAGCAGGGACGAAAGUCGGGCUUAGUGAUCCGGUGGUUCCGCAUGGAAGGGCCAUCGCUCAACGGAUAAAAGCUACCCCGGGGAUAACAGGCUUAUCUCCCCCAAGAGUCCACAUCGACGGGGAGGUUUGGCACCUCGAUGUCGGCUCAUCGCAUCCUGGGGCUGUAGUCGGUCCCAAGGGUUGGGCUGUUCGCCCAUUAAAGCGGUACGCGAGCUGGGUUCAGAACGUCGUGAGACAGUUCGGUCCCUAUCCGUCGUGGGCGUAGGAAAUUUGAGAGGAGCUGUCCUUAGUACGAGAGGACCGGGAUGGACGCACCGCUGGUGUACCAGUUGUUCUGCCAAGGGCAUAGCUGGGUAGCUAUGUGCGGAAGGGAUAAGUGCUGAAAGCAUCUAAGCAUGAAGCCCCCCUCAAGAUGAGAUUUCCCAUAGCGUAAGCUAGUAAGAUCCCUGAAAGAUGAUCAGGUUGAUAGGUUCGAGGUGGAAGCAUGGUGACAUGUGGAGCUGACGAAUACUAAUAGAUCGAGGACUUAACCAUAUAA
rnacentral:rRNA from 1 species